CACUUUUGUCACACGCUUGCUUCCACCUGUCAGAGGACUGGGUCUUCUCUGCCUUCCCUGCCAACCUCGUGGGCCCCUUUAAGAUCGGCCGGCCCCGCCAGGGAACAGGUGGAAGGCCGACUGGUGCCCAAGGGACCAAGAGAGGAUAUUGAGAAAUGCCACAGAUGCCUCUUGGGCCCCCCAAGGGAGAAGGAGCCAUGGGCAGGGCCGCUGAGGGGCUGGUGGGGGCAAGGCAGAAGGAGCCGGACAGAUUUAUAGGUAAAGCCUUCCCUCUCCUUCACCUGGCCUGAGCCUCUGUUCCCUGCUCCGGAGUUCUCUGCUCUGUUCGGCCAGGUCUCCUCGAUUUCUCUGGACAGAUCUUGCUUUGGCCAACCUCCACACCUUUGCCUGGGCCGUGCCUGUCACUCAGAACUUUCUUCCAAGUCUCCCCUGGAAAGCUAGUUGGUGGGUAGAAUAAAAGAAUGACCGAAUCCUGAAUCGUUCCAAGGGUGGGAUGGGGCAGAGCUAGAUGGCCUGGCUAAAAGAGAGGUUUCCAGAGAGGAACCAUUGGCACAUCGAUCAGGGGUCCGGCCCUGGCAGUUCCAGCUGCCCACCCGGGAGGGUCAGAAGCUGGAGGGGCUUUCACACCAUUAGUCAUCCCGGGUGGGUGGCAAGCAGACACCCAUCGGGAGUGGGUCACAGCGGGGAGCAGGUGAGCGUCACUGAAUUACUCAUGUCCCCUCACUGGACCUCGUGGGGAACCAAAGUGAGCCGGGACAGCGGCCUGAGCCUGGGGGACCUCUGCCAGGAAGAUAUACUACAUUAGAAUAAAGUGAUUUGGCUCCAUGUUGAAGGUCAAUUGCAGUCUUUAGAGAAGAUGGAGAUGAAACUGUAGAGUUCAACAACGAGAAACCUGGAGACAACCAUGGGGGCUCUCGUCCCCAUCCUUCACACACGUGGGUCUGAUGGUUUGUGCGGCUGCCUCGUCACCUUUACUGGGUCCAGAGUGCCCCCGGGCUUCCCGGAACUGUUUGUUUACCUGUUCUUGCCUUUGGAGGGAAGUGGUGUCACUUGGUUUUCUGGAUGCACAAAAGGAAGCUUCAAGAGAUUGGCAGAUCCAGGCUUACACGUGGUGAGAAGAACGCAGAGAAGGAUUCAGACCGCAGAGUCCACGUUCUUGACGGCCAGGCCUGCCCAGGAUCCUGGACAGAGAACUCGAUCCCUCGGGAGUGAAAGAAAUCAGCCAGAUAACAGCAAGACAAGUUUU